UCAUGUCAAUUGGUUAAAUUGUUCCUGAGAUAUCCUUUCUCAAAGGGUAAAAUGUGCGAUUUCGAGAAAACGGCUUUAAAGUUUGGGAAUUGUUUACAAUGAGUAAAUGUAAGGUCUAUAUACAGAAGUUCAAAAUCAAAGUCUUGCUGAAGGUAAUUAGAAGGCACCAGCUUCAUAUGUGGUACCUUCAGCAUCCUUCAAUGCUUCUUCCCUUCUAGUACAAAGUAAGUUCUCCCCCUGACGCCUCUUCUUCUAUUUCGCUGUUGCUCAAAAAUUAGGUUUAGGAACCUUUUCACCCACUCUUUCCAGUUCACUUAGACAUUCUCUUUCUAAGACGAGGAGAAUGGUCCAGAUAAUUGUUUAUAAUAUGCAGUUUUUGACAUACAUGGCAUGUUCAUAAUGCUACAUAGUGUAGCCAGUCCACGGUAGCCGCCACCCAUUUCAAAAGAGCUGAACGCAAGUCGUCGAUUAAUGUCGAAAGAUGUUCCCCUAUUGUGAUACACUGGUAGAUGUAUCCAACACCUCUACAUUGUCACAUGUGCUGCAUUCGACUGUCAACCUUGACAUUAACUCCUGUCUUCUAUCUUCGCCAAGCCUCAAA